rnacentral:miRNA from 1 species
AGUUUGAUUUUAGUUCCUCUAAGG